CCUACGGGAGGCAGCAGUGGGGAAUAUUGGACAAUGGGGGGAACCCUGAUCCAGCGACGCCGCGUGAGUGAAGAAGUAUUUCGGUAUGUAACGCUCUAUCAGCAGGGAAGAAAGAAAUGACGGUACCUGACUAAGAAGCCCCGGCUAACUACGUGCCAGCAGCCGCGGUAAUACGUAGGUGGCAAGCGUUAUCCGGAUUUACUGGGUGUAAAGGUAGCGUAGACGGCGAUGCAAGUCUGAAGUGAAAGGCGGGGGCCCAACCCCCGGACUGCUUUGGACACUGGAUGGCUGGAGUGCAGGAGAGGUAAGUGGAAUUACUAGUGUAGCGGUGAAAGGCGUAGAUAUUAGGAGGAACACCAGUGGCGAAGGCGGCUUACUGGACUGUAACUGACGUUGAGGCUCGAAAGCGUGGGGAGCAAACAGGAUUAGAUACCCUUGUAGUC
rnacentral:rRNA from 1 species